ACAUGAUUCUCUUACUGAUGGCACAAAUGUAAAAUGUCAAGUCCAUGAAUGCAGUUGAGAAUGAGACAAAGGUAAAAAGAGAAUACAUUUAAUGUGUCCAGACCUGGUUUUUGUGCCCACAAACGAUGCACUCAUGCUGGCGGCCACCGCGCGGACAAUCGCCAGGCGAAGAGCUAAAUAAGUCCGACUCCAAACACUCCCCACACACGGCAAAACUACGGAUCACAGGUCUCCGGGCAGAGAAAGGCUGUGGCGAAGUUUUACAAGUUUCCACCGAUCCAGUGGGGGCUCCGGAGAAGGUGCGUUUCCCCGCGCCGGGGCUCUGGCAAUCGCACGGCUGGGGAUAGGGAGACCCGGGGAGCCUCCCGGGGGGGUCGGCCCCGGCGGCUCCCCGGAAGCGCCAAGGAGAGGAGCGCUCUCGAGGAGGGGGUUGUUUACCUGGGGCGGCGGCAGGAGGUAGGACCUGAAGGUGGGUCUGGGCGGCUUGAGGGAGAACAUGGUGCCGCCGCCUUUUCGCCCCCGCCGGGUCGCAACCCGGGACCCGCCGCGGGCCAGCGGUAGCGCCGACGCCUCCCGACGCCCGCGGGCUCAGAGCUCCCCGUGCGGCCGCCCAGGCCCCGUCUGCGGCCAGCCGGCCCGGGCGGACUGACGGGCGGGGACACGGCGGAGCGCCCGCCCGAGCGGGGAGGAGCCGGGGCAGAGCUGGGUCGACUCGGGCGCCUGGGCCCAUCCCCGGAAGGGGCCCGGCGCCCCGCCCCGAGAGACGGUGCGCGCGGGGUCGGCGGCCGGCCGCUCCCGGCCUCUAGGCCGCGCUGGUCCCGGAACGCAAGACUCGCGCCGCCCGCCUGCUGCCGGGACCUUCAGGGAGCGCGCCGGGGGGAGCGAGGCUCGGCAGCCAUCUUGAGAGGACAGCUGGGGAGGGCGCUCCUACGGCGGCCCGCAGGGCUCACUGGGGCCCACAGGGACCUACGGCGGCCCGCGGGGGUCAUGGCUGUAGCCGGAGGGGCCAGCGACCUUGGCUCAGAGCUGUCUCGUUUCCUGGCACAGCUCCCUUGACGGCGGCUCAUUAGACACCCAGCUCGCGCGAGCAUUGUGGUUUUAAGUCGUCGGGAGGAGCCCAGGCAUGGGGAAAGGGAUUCUGGUGCCCCGGACUCAGCCAGUCACACUGUGCGUCCAGCAUGUGAAGGAACCGCACUGGAAAAGUGGACCAGUGCUGCCAGCAGCGACCAGGAUUAAACGUCUAGCGCAGUCUGGAUAAAGCUCCCUUAAAGGUCCUACAGUUUGGGAAGAUUGUCUUCCAUCAUCCCGUCUGUUGUCUUUGCGCAAAGCUUUGAGACUGGGAUAUCCUACCAAGCUGAGCUGACUGCUGAUUUCCAUGGGAUGUUGAGACCAGCGUGGGCCUAGGGACUGACAUGACAUUGGCAGGCAACUCAGACCCCUCAACUUAGUUUAUUAACUUUGACCCUCCUUAUUAAAAUUUAAUGUGGAUAAAAGAUAUUAAACAAGUUAACGUCCUUUCUUUUCUCACCCAUCCUCACAGGUAAAGAUACCUAGUGAGCAGAUAAAUGAUCAAAAACCCAGCAAGAGUGAGGCACUAGCAGUGUGGGGCCUUCAUUAGGCAAAGGAACAAAAAAUCCGCCUGUUAAUUUUGCAGUUAACAAUUAGCAGAUGAAUUUAAGCACAUCGAGCACAGGGCAUUUCCUAACUCAAAACAUAUUUCCGAACUGAAGCAGCCUUUGGUGAAGGGGGCUAGUGAUGUAUCACUUUGGUGAAUCUGUUAGUUGAGAGUUGAUCCUUCUUUUGCUCUGAAGAAUAAACCCCUAAUCCAGCAUUUUAUAACUAAUGUCACAAGGAAACUCCAGUAUGACCAUAUGAAUCAUAAUCAUACUGACAAGUGUUGCUAAUUGAAACAUUAAAAAAAAUUUGAGAUUCAAAA